UACGGGGGGGGUAAGCGUUGUUCGGAAUUACUGGGCGUAAAGGGCUCGUAGGCGGCCAACUAAGUCGGACGUGAAAUCCCUCAGCUUAACUGGGGAACUGCGUCCGAUACUGGAUGGCUUGGAUUCGGGAGAGGGAUGCGGAAUUCCAGGUGUAGCGGUGAAAUGCGUAGAUAUCUGGAGGAACACCGGUGGCGAAGGCGGCAUCCUGGACCGAUAUUGACGCUGAGGCGCGAAAGCCAGGGGAGCAAACGGG
rnacentral:rRNA from 1 species